rnacentral:rRNA from 1 species
ACGGCAGCACGGGUGCUUGCACCUGGUGGCGAGUGGCGAACGGGUGAGUAAUACAUCGGAACAUGUCCUGUAGUGGGGGAUAGCCCGGCGAAAGCCGGAUUAAUACCGCAUACGAUCUACGGAUGAAAGCGGGGGACCUUCGGGCCUCGCGCUAUAGGGUUGGCCGAUGGCUGAUUAGCUAGUUGGUGGGGUAAAGGCCUACCAAGGCGACGAUCAGUAGCUGGUCUGAGAGGACGACCAGCCACACUGGGACUGAGACACGGCCCAGACUCCUACGGGAGGCAGCAGUGGGGAAUUUUGGACAAUGGGCGAAAGCCUGAUCCAGCAAUGCCGCGUGUGUGAAGAAGGCCUUCGGGUUGUAAAGCACUUUUGUCCGGAAAGAAAUCCCUGGCUCUAAUACAGUCGGGGGAUGACGGUACCGGAAGAAUAAGCACCGGCUAACUACGUGCCAGCAGCCGCGGUAAUACGUAGGGUGCAAGCGUUAAUCGGAAUUACUGGGCGUAAAGCGUGCGCAGGCGGUUUGCUAAGACCGAUGUGAAAUCCCCGGGCUCAACCUGGGAACUGCAUUGGUGACUGGCAGGCUAGAGUAUGGCAGAGGGGGGUAGAAUUCCACGUGUAGCAGUGAAAUGCGUAGAGAUGUGGAGGAAUACCGAUG